UUCGGUGCCCGAGUUGUAAUUUGUAGAAGGUAACUUUGGGGCUGGUCCUUGUCUAUGUUCCUUGGAACAGGACGUCAUAGAGGGUGAGAAUCCCGUGUGGCGAGGAUCCCAGUUCUUUGUAAAGUGCUUUCGAAGAGUCGAGUUGUUUGGGAAUGCAGCUCUAAGUGGGUGGUAAAUUCCAUCUAAAGCUAAAUAUUGGCGAGAGACCGAUAGCGAACAAGUACAGUGAUGGAAAGAUGAAAAGAACUUUGAAAAGAGAGUGAAAAAGUACGUGAAAUUGUUGAAAGGGAAGGGCAUUUGAUCAGACAUGGUGUUUUGCGCCCUCUGCUCCUUGUGGGUGGGGGAAUCUCGCAGCUCACUGGGCCAGCAUCAGUUUUGGCGGCAGGAUAAAUCUGCAGGAAUGUAGCUUGCCUCGGUAAGUGUUAUAUCCUGUAGAAAUACUGCCAGCUGGGACUGAGGACUGCGACUUUACGUCAAGGAUGCUGGCAUAAUGGUUAUAUGCCGCCCGUCU
rnacentral:rRNA from 1 species